rnacentral:rRNA from 1 species
AGACCCGAAACCCGGUGAUCUAGCCAUGGGCAGGUUGAAGGUUGGGUAACACUAACUGGAGGACCGAACCGACUAAUGUUGAAAAAUUAGCGGAUGACUUGUGGCUGGGGGUGAAAGGCCAAUCAAACCGGGAGAUAGCUGGUUCUCCCCGAAAGCUAUUUAGGUAGCGCCUCGUGAAUUCAUCUCCGGGGGUAGAGCACUGUUUCGGCAAGGGGGUCAUCCCGACUUACCAACCCGAUGCAAACUGCGAAUACCGGAGAAUGUUAUCACGGGAGACACACGGCGGGUGCUAACGUCCGUCGUGAAGAGGGAAACAACCCAGACCGCCAGCUAAGGUCCCAAAGUCAUGGUUAAGUGGGAAACGAUGUGGGAAGGCCCAGACAGCCAGGAUGUUGGCUUAGAAGCAGCCAUCAUUUAAAGAAAGCGUAAUAGCUCACUGGUCGAGUCGGCCUGCGCGGAAGAUGUAACGGGGCUAAACCAUGCACCGAAGCUGCGGCAGCGACACUGUGUGUUGUUGGGUAGGGGAGCGUUCUGUAAGCCUGUGAAGGUGUGCUGUGAGGCAUGCUGGAGGUAUCAGAAGUGCGAAUGCUGACAUAAGUAACGAUAAAGCGGGUGAAAAGCCCGCUCGCCGGAAGACCAAGGGUUCCUGUCCAACGUUAAUCGGGGCAGGGUGAGUCGACCCCUAAGGCGAGGCCGAAAGGCGUAGUCGAUGGGAAACAGGUUAAUAUUCCUGUACUUGGUGUUACUGCGAAGGGGGGACGGAGAAGGCUAUGUUGGCCGGGCGACGGUUGUCCCGGUUUAAGCGUGUAGGCUGGUUUUCCAGGCAAAUCCGGAAAAUCAAGGCUGAGGCGUGAUGACGAGGCACUACGGUGCUGAAGCAACAAAUGCCCUGCUUCCAGGAAAAGCCUCUAAGCAUCAGGUAACAUCAAAUCGUACCCCAAACCGACACAGGUGGUCAGGUAGAGAAUACCAAGGCGCUUGAGAGAACUCGGGUGAAGGAACUAGGCAAAAUGGUGCCGUAACUUCGGGAGAAGGCACGCUGAUAUGUAGGUGAAGUCCCUCGCGGAUGGAGCUGAAAUCAGUCGAAGAUACCAGCUGGCUGCAACUGUUUAUUAAAAACACAGCACUGUGCAAACACGAAAGUGGACGUAUACGGUGUGACGCCUGCCCGGUGCCGGAAGGUUAAUUGAUGGGGUCAGCGCAAGCGAAGCUCUUGAUCGAAGCCCCGGUAAACGGCGGCCGUAACUAUAACGGUCCUAAGGUAGCGAAAUUCCUUGUCGGGUAAGUUCCGACCUGCACGAAUGGCGUAAUGAUGGCCAGGCUGUCUCCACCCGAGACUCAGUGAAAUUGAACUCGCUGUGAAGAUGCAGUGUACCCGCGGCAAGACGGAAAGACCCCGUGAACCUUUACUAUAGCUUGACACUGAACAUUGAGCCUUGAUGUGUAGGAUAGGUGGGAGGCUUUGAAGUGUGGACGCCAGUCUGCAUGGAGCCGACCUUGAAAUACCACCCUUUAAUGUUUGAUG